UGCAGUUGAAGAUGAAAAGAUUGUUAUGUUCUGAUUUAAUAUGAUUAUUUCAUACUAUCACUAUCUUUCGGCUGAAUUUGCU
rfam:Picea glauca, whole genome shotgun sequence.